rnacentral:rRNA from 1 species
UACGUAGGGACCGAGCGUUGUCCGGAAUCAUUGGGCGUAAAGAGCGUGUAGGCGGCUCGCUAAGUCUUGCGUGAAAUCUCGGGGCUCAACCCCGAGCGGUCGUGAGAAACUGGCGGGCUAGAGGUAGGUAGGGGAGAAUGGAAUUCCCGGUGUAGCGGUGAAAUGCGCAGAUAUCGGGAGGAACACCGGUGGCGAAGGCGGUUCUCUGGGCCUUACCUGACGCUGAGGAGCGAAAGCGUGGGGAGCGAACAGG